CCUACGGGAGGCAGCAGUAGGGAAUCUUCCACAAUGGGCGAAAGCCUGAUGGAGCAACGCCGCGUGGGUGAAGAAGGUCUUCGGAUCGUAAAACCCUGUUGUUAGAGAAUAAAGUGCGUGAGAGUAACUGUUCACGUUUCGACGGUAUCUAACCAGAAAGCCACGGCUAACUACGUGCCAGCAGCCGCGGUAAUACGUAGGUGGCAAGCGUUAUCCGGAUUGAUUGGGCGUAACGGGAACGCAGGCGGUCUUUUAAGUCUGAUGUGAAAGCCUUCGGCUUAACCGGAGUAGUGCAUUGGAAACUGGGAGACUUGAGUGCAGAAGAGGAGAGUGGAACUCCAUGUGUAGCGGUGAAAUGCGUAGAUAUAUGGAAGAACACCAGUGGCGAAAGCGGCUCUCUGGUCUGUAACUGACGCUGAGGUUCGAAAGCGUGGGUAGCAAACAGGAUUAGAUACCCCAGUAGUC
rnacentral:rRNA from 1 species